rnacentral:lncRNA from 10 species
AAAGGUUCUGAAACAGAAUACUGUAUUUUUUCACCUGAUGUUAAAAUCAAGGGGUCCAAUCAUUUGCAGCAGAUUUUAUUUUCAAACAGGUUUUUUAAUGAAUAAAAUGGAGAAACAAUGAGAUUAAUUUUAUGUAAAACAAUCUGAAAUUUAAAAUCUGCUCGUCCCUCAUACGUAAAUUUACAAACCACCAAAACAACCAAACAACCAACAAACCAACAACAAAACAGUGUCUAUUAAGAAAAAAAAAAAAAAGGAAAGAAAUGGGAAAGAAAAGAGAGAAGAAAUACUAAAGCCGGAAUUUGAAAAAACAAAAAAGUAAAAUAUAUAGCUACUUGUAAAGAUAAAAGAUGAAAAUUUCUGUCUUUUAAUAAAGGCAUACCUCAGAGUUAUAGAGAAAUCGGUUUCAGACUAUUGAAAUAAAGCAAAUACAAUAAAGCAAGUUAUGCUAAUAUUUUGGUUUCC